CUUGAUACGCAGUGCUCCCCUCCCCACUUUCUCUGCCCUCCUGUGGAUCACGGGUGUCCUAGGGCUGUUGGGAGCCUGGAUUAAAGUUGCUGAGUGGCCGGCUGAUGAUCAGAUCCAGGGAGUCAGACCAGAGGUGGGGACAUCUUUUCAAAGAGACAGGGUCUUGCCUUGUCGCCUAGGCUGGAGUGCAGUGUUGAGAUCAUAGUUUACUGCAGCCUCGAACUCCUGGGUACAAGGAAUCCUCCCUCCUCAGCCUCCUGAGUAGCUGGGAUUACAGACACGAAUGCAGAGUUUGAGUCCAGAUCCCAAAGCCCAGUACACAAGUAUCUACGGAGCCCUCAAGAAAAUCAUGCGGACCGAAGGCUUCUGGAGGCCCUUGCGAGGCGUCAACGUCAUGAUCAUGGGUGCAGGGCCGGCCCAUGCCAUGUAUUUUGCCUGCUAUGAAAACAUGAAAAGGACUUUAAAUGACGUUUUCCACCACCAAGGAAACAGCCACCUAGCCAACGGUAUUUUGAAAGCGUUUGUCUGGAGUUAGAAAGUUCUCUUCU
rnacentral:lncRNA from 10 species